AUUACUUUUAUUUGAAGAAUUUUUUUGUUGUAGUAAUAAGUGUUGCGGCAAGAAAUCAUCUUAGGUUGUUGUGGAACCUUCAUAGAGAGGAAAACACACAAGAGUGAGCGUCGGAUUGAUCGGGCGAGGGACUCUCCGAUGCCUAAGUUAGAUCUCUCUACAAACAGAUAAUUCUAGUAGCAAUGAAAAAAGUUCGAUCCCUUCGAAAGGGAUUUACCUGAAUAUUUAUAGCUAAAGAUAACGGCCAUAGGGUGAGAGUCCCGCUUUGGUAGCUUCUUAAUGCUGGUAGUAGUCCAAAUACAGGAAAGGGCUGUAAUAGGAAAGUGAAUAUGAGAGACGUUCUAGUUAUGGAAUCUCCAUGUAUUGGCCAUAUCCCAAGGAAUAUGGCAAGAUAUCAUUCCCUCUAAGGAAGAUUCGAUUUUCUGUUGAGAGUCCUUUCUGGACUAGGAUUAGUUCAGUACUAGACUUGGUAAGCCCUUUUAGAUGUAUCUUGGUCAAGAAAUCUAUUGGAAUCUCAUGCUGAGCAACCUUGGUCAAGGGAUCCAGAUGGCGAGUGUCUUGGAUUGAGUAGUCUGGUUUUUGAACUACCUAUCCCGAACGACUGCUACUCGCACUGUUGGGCUAAUGAGACCUUGAUACCUUGAGUGGUCUGAUUGCCAAGCCACUUACCCUAAGCAACGUUGCAUGUGCCACUCUUUGUUCCAUUGGUGAAAGCCUUGGACCUGCUAGUCGGUUAAGGAACCAUUAUAGUUGGGCCUAUUCAAUAGUUUGAAUAGUCGUGUAGUGGGACUUUCAUGUAAUGCUCUUCUGGAGCUUGUGCUCGCUGAGUCGUUCGGUUGUUAAAGUUCCUUUUAGCAAAGUAGGUCUGUUGACUACUUCUGGUUCGGGCACUCGCUUUGGACUGGAUGAACAACCUGACUGGGCUCAGGCCAUUCUCCCGGGCCCGCAUUAGCACCUUCUAGGCUUUUGGGUCUAGUACUAUUUCGGUUCACUUGGCAUGCCCUUGAUGGUUGCCUAUUUUUUUCAUAAUAGAUUUCCCCCCCUCCUGUCGAGCUGCUUGUGGUCGGUCAGAAUACUUUGGGCCAUAGCAUCUCACAGCUAGAAUCGUAGCCCUUCUUAUCAUGGUCGAUGCCUCAUCUUGCGAGAAGGGUAACUGCCUCAAUGACUUGAUCCUUCACUUCUAGAAUUAGUACCUCCCUUAUUCAUUAAUGCGUCGUGGAUUCUCUGGGUAUCGUUCUAAAACGGUGGCAACUUUUCAUGAUUGAAAAGAUUCUUCUUUGAUGGGUUGAUGAAUGAGGAGAUGUCAUGUCAACAUCCCUGCCACCAUCCUGGUGCUAGGGGAGUUGAACCAGUUUGUUGGGUUGGUCCGAUUCACACAUUUUCCCAUGAGGUGUGUCCUUUCAUUGGUUUGUAUUAAGUUCCCCCAUAUGCCCUUUGGGGGGUGAAAAGCGUCUUUUCAAGGCUCUCCAGUGUUCAUUUUCUCCAUUUCUUCUUCCUCACAACUUCGAGAGUAUAUUGCUCCAUCAGCAUCCUGUUUUCUCGUUGCCCAUGACCUUUGAGGGUUUCCUGUCUUCGUGGCUGUCACCAUAGCUGUUGUGCUUCUUCCUUUGUUGGGCUUCUCUCAUUUUACUAAUCACAUCAUACGUUGCAAACGUGUAUGACUGGUUAAAGGGCUGUCAGGUCAAGUUGAAGGGUUUGGCACUUUUACCUCAACAAAGGAUGAGAUGGUAGCUUCCUUGAUUGAGUAGUUAAGGAACUUGACGGUUGAGAAUGUUUCUAAUUUGGACACACAAGAAUGGAUAUCGAUUCUCAAAGCUCAAGUCACUACGGCCAUAGAGGUUCAUGGGAUCGGACGAUACAGUUUGGUGGACAAAGAGAAAAAGCUACUUGGUCAUCUCUUGAGUGUUCAGGCAGAUCUGAAUUCUACUCGAACUUGCCUUCAGGAGUGGGAUAUUGCCUUGCAUUUAUGAGCAGUUGGCCAAAGAAGAGGCUGAGCAUUGUGUGGCUCAACUGGAAUUUGGUCUUAAGUCUUCUCAAGGGCAGUUGUCCAUUGUGCGGGCUCAAGUGGUUGAGGAUUACAAGACUUCGAAAGACUUUGAAGACUAUCUCUUCCUACCAUAUCGAUGCCUACAUCUAUGAAGCCCGUGACUACCGAAAUUUCGUACUUGUUAAGCAGCAUUCUUUCGAAAUCUUAUCCUUUGUGCAUGCAAGUUCCAAGACCAAGAAGGAAGUUAUAGAAUAGAAGGCGACUCGAGAAUCAGUUGAAAGAGUGGAAACCCAACCGGGUGGACUUGUUGAGCAAUGAAGAUGAAGGGAUCAAGGUGGUGGAGGCUUGAAUGCUAUGUAUUUGUUUUUGUUUCUUUUGGCUCUUAUAAAGCUUCUCUUGAAUGAACGAACCUCCCUUAUAACUCAUGUGAUGACUUGUGUUCGUGCUUUUUCCUCUACUGAUCAAUGAAGAUCGAUUUUUAAUUUUUUCCAA